rnacentral:rRNA from 1 species
AUUGAACGCUGGCGGCAUGCCUUACACAUGCAAGUCGAACGGCAGCGCGGGGCAACCUGGCGGCGAGUGGCGAACGGGUGAGUAACAUAUCGGAACAUACCCUAGAGUGGGGAUAACGUAGCGAAAGUUACGCUAAUACCGCAUACGCACUAAGGUGGAAAGUGGGGGAUUCGCAAGAACCUCAUGCUCAUGGAGUGGCCGAUAUCUGAUUAGCUAGUUGGUGAGGUAAAGGCUCACCAAGGCGACGAUCAGUAGCUGGUUUGAGAGAACGACCAGCCACACUGGAACUGAGACACGGUCCAGACUCCUACGGGAGGCAGCAGUGGGGAAUUUGGACAAUGGGGGCAACCCUGAUCCAGCAAUGCCGCGUGAGUGAAGAAGGCCUUCGGGUUGUAAAGCUCUUUGUCAGGGAAGAUAAUGACAGUACCUGGAGAA